rnacentral:misc_RNA from 1 species
GAUGAAGAACGUAGCGAAAUGCGAUAAGUAAUGCGAAUUGCAGAAUUUCCGUGAGUCAUCGAAUCUUUGAACGCACAUUGCGCCCACUGGUAUUCCGGUGGGCAUGCCUGUUCGAGCGUCAUUUCAACCCUCAAGCCCCCGGGUUUGGUGUUGGGGAUCGGCUCUGCCCUUCUGGGCGGUGCCGCCCCCGAAAUACAUUGGCGGUCUCGCUGCAGCCUCCAUUGCGUAGUAGCUAACACCUCGCAACUGGAACGCGGCGCGGCCAUGCCGUAAAACCCCAACUUCUGAAUGUUGACCUCGGAUCAGGUAGGAAUACCCGCUGAACUUAAGCAUAUCAAUAAGCGGAGGA